UGGACAUGACCAUAAAGAAAAGUUCCCAUGGGGUUUUCCCACACUACCUGACUAGCAGUUAACCUGUUGGGGACAUUU
ensembl:snoRNA Gm23299 predicted gene, 23299